UACUACGGGUGCAAGCGUUAAUCGGAAUUACUGGGCGUAAAGCGCGCGUAGGUGGUUCGUUAAGUUGGAUGUGAAAGCCCCGGGCUCAACCUGGGAACUGCAUCCAAAACUGGCGAGCUAGAGUAUGGCAGAGGGUGGUGGAAUUUCCUGUGUAGCGGUGAAAUGCGUAGAUAUAGGAAGGAACACCAGUGGCGAAGGCGACCACCUGGGAUAAUAAUGAAACUGAGGUGCGACCGCGUGGGGAGCACACAGGAUUAGAUACCACGGUAGUCC
rnacentral:rRNA from 1 species